GGUCCAGGUAGCCUAAGGCCCUGCUCUAAUCUCUUAAACCUUCAGGUCUGGUGCCCCUGGUCUGGGAAAAGAAGACCUGCAGACACUGCCCGCUGGAAAGAGCCGCUGCUGGGAGUGGGUAAGAAAGUUCCCUCCCCAUUCUGCCUCAGCCUGGACCGCUGGAGCAGGGUCGUUGGCUGCAGACCAUGUCACAGCUCAGACUCCCACAGCAGUAGCUUCUGAAGCUCUGCUCUCAUUGUCACCACCUGUGUCUGGCUUGGAGAGGCGGAAGGUUGACUAUGAAGGAGCUUUGAAGGGAUUCCUGCUCAGGCCGGCCAGUUGCCUUUCUUGGUGUCCGUCUGUUGUUGCCCAGCUAGAGACCACAAAAGCUUGACCUUCGGAACACCUGGGAUCCGAUGUGAUUUUGGAGUCUCCUUUAAGGUCCCGUUCCUCAAAGGUGGUCCAGAAAAUCGCACCACUUCCCAGCUUCCUGGAAAAACGGCUUUUGAAGGAUGUGCAGAAUGUGAAUGUGCCAAACCUCUGAAGGCAGCAAUGUUUGGCUCCUUGCCUAAGACGAGAGGAAGAUGAGGAAUCAGCUAAUCCUGUAUUAAUGGGUGUUCUGGGACAGCUUUUACAGGUGCCCUGGAGGGCUGAUGCAGGUUAUGUACCAAACAGAGAUGUGCAGAAAACUAAAAGAGGACGUGCUAAGAAAAAGGAUUCAGAAAAUGUGCAGUGAUGCCUUGGACUCACUACGAGUCACUGGAGUAUGAAUUACACAGAUGUGAUCAAAUACUGGAUGAAAACUUCACGUGACACAGAUAACCUGGUAAUAGUGGAAAUGUGGAAAAAACAGCUUACAGGAAGAUUGCUACUUCAUUGUCUAGUAUUUUCUGUACAAAAUACUUGAAUACUUUCAGUUUCUAAACUGAAGAUGACUCAGAAGCCACUUGCCAUACAGAAAAAAAAUUGAGGCUGACAAAUUAUUAGUGUCAUUUUAUGAGGAAAUGUGAAUGAUAUGUAUAAAGAACUUUGAAAGUGACAAGGACAUUGGCAGCUAACAUGAAGCAUCAUAAGAUUCACAAAUGACUAGAAAAUCCCACAACCUUCCAAAAUAGUUCUUGUGACCUAGAGGAUGCUUAGGAGAGUAGGACAGUCAGAAGGUAUAGCCGUAACUUUGGAUGAAUCUGUAGCAGAGACCCUGACUUCUUUGCAAGAGUAGGGCGCUUUGAGGACUUGUGAUUGGUUUUCAGGCCAAGUGAUUAUUCCAACAAAAUAUAGUUUGUAACUAUGGAUGGGAGGCUUUUCACCUAGCCUGAGAAAAUCAGUAAUAUCCUUUUUAUACCUGACUGGGUGACCCAGAUGCCUUAUAUGGCUCUCAAGUGGAACUCAUUUAUAUAUGACCCUGACAUUCUCACAGAGGCAGAAAGUGAUGGUAUUUGCGUCUUUACCUCUUGGGAGUAGGAGCCUCCCCCUUUCUUUUAACUUAGGGGAAAAAAAAAAAAAAAA
rnacentral:lncRNA from 1 species